GACGUCGCUCUCCUCGCCCGGAUCGUCCAUAUCGUAGGACAGCAUGCCGCCGUCCUGCUCCUGCGGCGUGGCCGCAUUCCUGCUCUCCAGACCCCCGCUGUUGUCCACGAACAUUGCUGCUCUGAAGAGACGGCCGUCUUUAACAGGACAAAGAGGACACCGUGGACCUCUGGGAGGAGAUGCUGCAGAUCUCCAUGUUGGUAAAAGAGCUCCCACCUUCACUCGUGCAAUCUGGGAAUGGCGGAUCGGGGCACUCUGAGGGACGCUGAUAAGACCACAUCCCCUGCGCCGGUUAUUGUCGUUAAUCCAGGACUGCAUGAAUCGGCAAAGCUCCGUCGCACUGGCGAGCGGCUCAGGCACAAGUGGGGCUCCUCGUGCGAGACGCUGGGGGACAUGUUCUACGUGACUGAGGGCAGACAUGUGAACGUCAAGGUGACACCUUCCAUGCCAGAUUUAUUCUAAGGGUGGACAAACUCUGUAUCAGACUGAAGUGGAAUUAUUUUAUUCCUUAAUAUUCAGUAAUGUUUUAAGUGCCCUCCCCAGCAUUGUUUCCCAAAAAAGAGAAAAUAACAGGCUUGGUGUAAACCCCUUUCCAAAAGUUCCAAAUUCAAAGCCCCCCCCCUCCCCCAAACACACACAUUUCUUUAGAAAAAAUAAAUCUGCUAUGCCUCUUUUAUGCAGCUUUAGGAAAAGCACGCUGGCAGUGGGCCAGGCCAGUGCAUAAAUUUCAGUGCCUUAAGAAUUGCAAAUUGCUCUUUUGUCUAAAGGAAUUUUGUUGGGUAAAACAUUGCACUGCGGUUCUCUGUGUGGCGUAAGUUGCUUUCUGGAUCUUUAAAUGUGUUGAUUUCUUUUUCCUCCUAGAAGACCGAAAGUAUGGCUGUUCGUUUUGCAACUGGCUGUACUGUGCUUUCUACUCUUAUCACAGAGUGAUAAUAUGCCUUUUGUGUGAGCUGUGGAUCAACUGACCCCUGCUGCAGAAUUAUGCCAGUGGGUGAGAUUCACACUUGAGUCCCUGAUCCCUUUAUCUUCUGGCAGGUAGAUAGAUAAAACACACACACACACACGCACGCACGCACGCACACACACACACACACAAAUACACAAGUUUAUUAAGUAAUACAAAAUGAUUUCAGAUAAACUUUACAGGCAGGCGAUUUUCAAAGAACUGCACCAUGUAAUAGCCAGGCUGCAGCUCCGAGGUUCAGUUUGAUUUCCUUCUUCGUCGUGAUGCUGUGUUUCUGCCCUGUGAUGGACUGGUGCUGUUUACAUCUCAAAUGUGCUGCCUGUGACAUUCGGGGACUGGGAAGAGAUCAAAUGUGUCGAUUCUUGUUCCCCGAGAUUAAUAAUGUAUACGUAAGAGAACGCAAAAUCUCCUGAACUGCAAAAUCGUUUCCUCCACUUAUUCAUAAUUCAUGAAUGCAGCGGGAAAAUUAGCUGUAUGGGUGAUUUUGUGCUUAAGUGUUUUCUAAAGAAAGUGCAACGUUUUCCCCGACGGGCAGAUUUCCACAGGCAGUCUUUCAAGGCUCUUUAAUAUAUUACAGAAACUUAAUUCUUUUUUUUUUUUUAAAGAAAGUAGUUAUUGUUUCAUUUUCGGUUACUGGUACGUACAGAGGAAACGUGACUCUUAAGCUCCGGGCAUUGGAGCGCCCGCCACAGCCAUUUCCUUGGUUAUUAGAGAAACUCGCAUCGGUUUGGACUGAAAUCAUUUUUAAUUUUGCCUUUAUAUCACGAAUAAACAGCGUUCAUUUGUUAACGCGCAGUAAUCAUCUGAUAUAAACAGUCCUCAUAUAAACCUCUUACGCUGAGCCCGGAGGUGCCCAAACCCAUCACUGAGAUAUACCAGUGGGCGUGAGCAUUAACGCGAUAUCGCAAACCAUCCAAUUAAUCGCUCCAAUAAUGCUGUGAAUAGCGAAGACUACCGCCUCUGAAGGACAUGACUCGUUUAUCAAAGCGGCCGUUUAAUAGCUGGGGUUCAUGUCUGCGAUGUACAUAUGCAAUGCUAAAGUGUGUAGAUUAGCUUUUCCAAACAAAAAUGUGAAUUUGAUAACUUAUAUGCACGCUACUUAAUACAUGAUUUUUAAAGCGAAUUAACGUUUUUUGAUCAACUAAAGUCGUAAAGUAUGUUUUCCAGUGCCCGAAAGUUCAGAUAUUUAUUGCUUCAUACCCCUGGUUCUCUACCUACCACGGGCGCCAGCGAGCCGCUGUUUCAUUUAAUGAAGCCUAAUGAGGCGGACUGUGGCAGGCAGGACGCGAACUAACGCUCGUCACCCUCCUGAUGAAGCUAUCGUGGCUUUGAGAAAAAGAGGAGAGUCGUUAAACUAAAUGAUGCUGCAUGGCUUUCUCAGACAAAACAUAGGCCGUCUAUAAAUUAUAACCUUCCAUGCCAGUCAGAUAAUGUAUCAGAUAAUGUAUCACAAGCAUGCAGCUCAAUGAGAAAACACAGCUACCAUGUACAGUAUCAUAUUCCAUAGUUUCCUCCUGGGACCAAGUGCAUCUUAAUCUUAAUCUUAAAAGUGACUGGGAGCAGGGACGGAUUACGGACCGGGCCAGCGGGGCCGCUGCCCAGGGGCCCUUGGGGUGCAGGGGGCCCGUGGGGCCCCUAGGCAAAAACAAUUUGCAACGCUUAUCAACAAUGUAUUUUCGUUUGUCUAUUUUAGAGGGCCUACAUUCUUUGAUCCUCUGCCUACAAGGGCCCCUGACCCUAUAGGGAGGGUGUUUGGCUGCCAAGGACCCUUGAAUUGUGGUGGUUGUGGUGCUGGUGCUGGUGCUGGUGGGGGGGGCCCUCACGAAUGUUUUGCCCAGGGACCCACACAACCCAUAAUCCGUCCCUGACUGGGAGCCAGUGCAGUGAAUUUGAAACAGGAGUAAUGUGCUUUUUUCAUAAUUAAAAAGUUCUGUCCGUAACAUUCAGGUUGCAGCUGUCUAA